ACUCCUACGGGAGGCAGCAGUAGGGAAUCUUCCACAAUGGGAGCAAGCCUGAUGGAGCAACACCGCGUGAGUGAAGAAGGGUUUCGGCUCGUAAAGCUCUGUUGUUAAAGAAGAACACGUAUGAGAGUAACUGUUCAUACGUUGACGGUAUUUAACCAGAAAGUCACGGCUAACUACGUGCCAGCAGCCGCGGUAAUACGUAGGUGGCAAGCGUUAUCCGGAUUUAUUGGGCGUAAAGAGAGUGCAGGCGGUUUUCUAAGUCUGAUGUGAAAGCCUUCGGCUUAGCCGGAGAAGUGCAUCGGAAACUGGAUAACUUGAGUGCAGAAGAGGGUAGUGGAACUCCAUGUGUAGCGGUGGAAUGCGUAGAUAUAUGGAAGAACACCAGUGGCGAAGGCGGCUACCUGGUCUGCAACUGACGCUGAGACUCGAAAGCAUGGGUAGCGAACAGGAUUAGAUACCCUGGUAGGAUAGCG
rnacentral:rRNA from 1 species